rnacentral:rRNA from 1 species
CCAAGUUUUUAAGGGCGCACGGUGGAUGCCUUGGCACUAGGAACCGAUGAAGGACGUGGGAGGCCGCGAUAGGCCCCGGGGAGCUGUCAACCGAGCUUUGAUCCGGGGGUGUCCGAAUGGGGAAACCCGGCAGUCGUCAUGGGCUGUCACCCGCUGCUGAACACAUAGGCAGUGUGGAGGGAACGCGGGGAAGUGAAACAUCUCAGUACCCGCAGGAAGAGAAAACAACCGUGAUUCCGGGAGUAGUGGCGAGCGAAACUGGAUGAGGCCAAACCGUAUGCGUGUGAGACCCGGCAGGGGUUGCGUAUACGGGGUUGUGGGAUCUCUCUUCUGUUGUCUGCCGGCAACAGGACGAGUCAGAAACCGUUGAUGUAGGCGAAGGACAUGCGAAAGGUCCGGCGUAGAGGGUAAGACCCCCGUAGUCGAAACGUCAGCGGCUCGUUUGAGAGACACCCAAGUAGCACGGGGCCCGAGAAAUCCCGUGUGAAUCUGGCGGGACCACCCGCUAAGCCUAAAUAUUCCCUGGUGACCGAUAGCGGAUAGUACCGUGAGGGAAUGGUGAAAAGUACCCCGGGAGGGGAGUGAAAUAGUACCUGAAACCGUGUGCCUACAAGCCGUGGGAGCGUCGGAACAAGGCUUGCCUUGUUCUCGUGACUGCGUGCCUUUUGAAGAAUGAGCCUGCGAGUUUGCGGUGUGUUGCGAGGUUAACCCGUGUGGGGAAGCCGUAGCGAAAGCGAGUCCGAAUAGGGCGUUGGAGUAGCACGCUCAAGACCCGAAGCGGAGUGAUCUAGCCAUGGGCAGGUUGAAGCGGAGGUAAGACUUCGUGGAGGACCGAACCCACCAGGGUUGAAAACCUGGGGGAUGACCUGUGGUUAGGGGUGAAAGGCCAAUCAAACUCCGUGAUAGCUGGUUCUCCCCGAAAUGCAUUUAGGUGCAGCGUCGUGUGUUUCUUGCCGGAGGUAGAGCACUGGAUAGGCGAUGGGCCCUACCGGGUUACUGACCUUAGCCAAACUCCGAAUGCCGGUAAGUGAGAGCGCGGCAGUGAGACUGUGGGGGAUAAGCUCCAUGGUCGAGAGGGAAACAGCCCAGAGCAUCGACUAAGGCCCCUAAGCGUACGCUAAGUGGGAAAGGAUGUGGAGUCGCAGAGACAACCAGGAGGUUGGCUUAGAAGCAGCCACCCUUGAAAGAGUGCGUAAUAGCUCACUGGUCUAGUGAUUCCGCGCCGACAAUGUAGCGGGGCUCAAGCGUACCGCCGAAGUCGUGUCAUUCAUACAACAGCCCCAACGGGUGUAUGGAUGGGUAGGGGAGCGUCGUCUGCCGGGUGAAGCAGCCGUGUAAGCGAGUUGUGGACGGUUGACGAGUGAGAAUGCAGGCAUGAGUAGCGAUUCACACGUGAGAAACGUGUGCGCCGAUUGACUAAGGGUUCCUGGGUCAAGCUGAUCUGCCCAGGGUAAGUCGGGACCUAAGGCGAGGCCGACAGGCGUAGUCGAUGGAUAACCGGUUGAUAUUCCGGUACCCGCUGUGAAGCGUCAAACAUCGAGCAUCGUGAUGCUAAGGCCGUGAAGCCGCCGGUGAUCCCUUCGGGGUGAUCCGGAGUGGUGGAGCCGCCGAACCAAGCGGUUAGUAGGUGAGUGAUGGGGUGACGCAGGAAGGUAGUCCAGCCCGGGCGGUGGUUGUCCCGGGGUAAGGGUGUAGGACGUCAGGUAGGCAAAUCCGCCUGGCAAUAGUCUGAGACCUGAUGCCGAGCCGAUUGUGGUGAAGUGGAUGAUCCUAUGCUGUCGAGAAAAGCCUCUAGCGAGUUUCAUGGCGGCCCGUACCCUAAACCGACUCAGGUGGUCAGGUAGAGAAUACCGAGGCGUUCGGGUGAACUAUGGUUAAGGAACUCGGCAAAAUGCCCCCGUAACUUCGGGAGAAGGGGGGCCACAUCCGGUGACGGGCUUUGCGCCCUGAGCUGGGGGUGGCCGCAGAGACCAGCGAGAAGCGACUGUUUACUAAAAACACAGGUCCGUGCGAAGCCGUAAGGCGAUGUAUACGGACUGACGCCUGCCCGGUGCUGGAACGUUAAGGGGACCGGUUAGCUCCAUUUCGGUGGGGCGAAGCUGAGAACUUAAGCGCCAGUAAACGGCGGUGGUAACUAUAACCAUCCUAAGGUAGCGAAAUUCCUUGUCGGGUAAGUUCCGACCUGCACGAAUGGCGUAACGACUUCUCGACUGUCUCAACCAUAGGCCCGGUGAAAUUGCACUACGAGUAAAGAUGCUCGUUUCGCGCAGCAGGACGGAAAGACCCCGGGACCUUUACUACAGUUUGAUAUUGGUGUUCGGUUCGGCUUGUGUAGGAUAGCUGGGAGACUGUGAAGCGCUAACGCCAGUUAGUGUGGAGUCGUCGUUGAAAUACCAGUCUGGUCGUGCUGGAUGUCUAACCUGGGUCCGUGAUCCGGAUCAGGGACAGUGUCUGAUGGGUAGUUUAACUGGGGCGGUUGCCUCCUAAAGGGUAACGGAGGCGCCCAAAGGUUCCCUCAGCCUGGUUGGCAAUCAGGUGUUGAGUGUAAGUGCACAAGGGAGCUUGACUGUGAGACCGACGGGUCGAGCAGGGACGAAAGUCGGGACUAGUGAUCCGGCGGUGGCUUGUGGAAGCGCCGUCGCUCAACGGAUAAAAGGUACCCCGGGGAUAACAGGCUGAUCUUCCCCAAGAGUCCAUAUCGACGGGAUGGUUUGGCACCUCGAUGUCGGCUCGUCGCAUCCUGGGGCUGGAGUCGGUCCCAAGGGUUGGGCUGUUCGCCCAUUAAAGCGGUACGCGAGCUGGGUUUAGAACGUCGUGAGACAGUUCGGUCCCUAUCCGCUGUGCGCGUAGGAGUCUUGAGAAGGGCUGUCCCUAGUACGAGAGGACCGGGACGGACGAACCUCUGGUGUGCCAGUUGUUCUGCCAAGGGCAUGGCUGGUUGGCUACGUUCGGGAGGGAUAACCGCUGAAAGCAUCUAAGCGGGAAGCCUGCUUCGAGAUGAGGACUCCCACCUCCUGGAGAGGGUAAGGCUCCCAGUAGACGACUGGGUUGAUAGGCCGGAUAUGGAAGCACGGUAACGUGUGGAGUUGACCGGUACUAAUAGGCCGAGGGCUUGUCCUC